rnacentral:rRNA from 1 species
CCUACGGGAGGCAGCAGUGAGGAAUAUUGGUCAAUGGGCGCGAGCCUGAACCAGCCAAGUCGCGUGAGGGAGGACGGCCCUACGGGUUUUAAACCUCUUUUGCCGGGGAGCAACGGGCGUCACGUGUGGCGCCACUGCGAGUACCCGGAGAAAAAGCAUCGGCUAACUCCGUGCCAGCAGCCGCGGUAAUACGGAGGAUGCGAGCGUUAUCCGGAUUUAUUGGGGUUAAGGGGUGCGUAGGCGGAUCGUUAAGUCAGUGGUCAAAUUGAGGGGCUCAACCCCUUCCCGCCAUUGAAACUGGCGUUCUUGAGUGGAAGAGAAGUAUGCGGAAUGCGUGGUGUAGCGGUGAAAUGCAUAGAUAUCACGCAGAACCCCGAUUGCGAAGGCAGCAUGCCGGCUUCCGACUGACGCUGAAGCACGAAAGCGUGGGGAUCGAACAGGAUUAGAUACCCUAGUAGUC